AUCUACUGGCUGCACGAGUCACGCCGCGACCUCGUUCUGCAAAGUCCGGCGAGUGACACCAAUACGCACGGCACAUUUUCCUUGCGAUCGCCGGUGCGUCCCAAUCCGCUUGGGACGUCAGUNAAUCCGCUCGGCACGUCAGUGGCCAAACUCGUCGGCAUCGAAGGCAACACCGUUCUGGUGCGCGGGCUCGAUUGUCUCGACGGCACGCCGCUUGUCGACCUCAAGCCGGACCGCUGCCAGUUCACGCCGAUCGCUCCGCCGCA
rnacentral:misc_RNA from 1 species